rnacentral:rRNA from 1 species
CCUACGGGUGGUAGCAGUGGGGAAUAUUGGACAAUGGGGGGAACCCUGAUCCAGCCAUGCCGCGUGUGUGAAGAAGGCCCUCGGGUUGUAAAGCACUUUCAGUGAGGAAGAACGCCUGGUGGUUAAUACCCAUCAGGAAAGACAUCACUCACAGAAGAAGCACCGGCUAACUCCGUGCCAGCAGCCGCGGUAAUACGGAGGGUGCGAGCGUUAAUCGGAAUUACUGGGCGUAAAGCGCGCGUAGGUGGCUUGAUAAGCCGGUUGUGAAAGCCCCGGGCUCAACCUGGGAACGGCAUCCGGAACUGUCAAGCUAGAGUGCAGGAGAGGAAGGUAGAAUUCCCGGUGUAGCGGUGAAAUGCGUAGAGAUCGGGAGGAAUACCAGUGGCGAAGGCGGCCUUCUGGACUGACACUGACACUGAGGUGCGAAAGCGUGGGUAGCAAACAGGAUUAGAUACCCCAGUAGUC